CCAAAUCUGUCCAAGUUGUUUACGUUAAUUGCUGUGAAAUUGUGGUCUAAGCUAGCUGGCUAUUGUGUGAAAACACCCCAACAGAAGUCAAAAAAAAAUUUCAAGAAAGACGGCUCUAGUUUCCAAUUCUUGACCAGCCUUCAAGUUUUACCAAAUCUGAUUCAAAGGUCAAAAAAAAAAAUUUUCAAGAAAGACGGCUCUAGUUUCCAAUUCUUGACCAGCCUUCAAGUUUUACCAAAUCUGAUUCAAACUUGGACUUUCAAAUCUGAACAGCCCUAGUCUUGGUCAGCAUUCAAGCCACCAAAUCUGAUUCAAACUUGGACUUCCAAAUCUGAACAACAUCCAAUUCUUGACAGCCUACAAGUUUACCAAAUUUGGUGCAAAAUCUGACUUCCAAAUCUGACCAGCCCCAAAAUUUCGAAUUUGGACCACUUGGGACUCCCAAAUCUGACCAAACUCCAAGGUUUC
rnacentral:lncRNA from 1 species